UAGCUCAUGGGUGCUAAGUCUGUGUUAUUGAGGCUGAGUUUUCUCUAGGAGUUUGGAUUCUCGAAAGUUUUGCGGCGGCAGGACGGCAAGGGGCUGUUCGGAAAAAGGUGGAGAGCAGUGGCAGGACUGCAGGGGCUGCUCCGGGGGAAGGCGGAGGGCGGCGGGAGAGCGGCGGCGGGACGGCAGGGGUCGACCGGAGGAGGCAGCAGGGGUUUGUUUCCUCGCUCCAACAGGUUUGUGGUUUGGAAGGCUGUCUGACCCUCGCGGACACCCGCACAGGCUGUUCCGUGCUCCUGCAGGAGGGAGCUUAAUUGCUUUCGCCAAAAUCAAGUUGGAGAGAUGUGUGGAGCCUCAGCCACAAACCCUGACUGUUGGGGGAUGCUUUGAUAGCAGAAUGCGGAGCUGCUGGAAACCCAGCUCCUCCUUGCAAGUGGUUCAGAAUGGGACUCCCUUUGGAAAAUGGGGACAGAAACAUCUCUCUGAGAAUGAAGAUUAUGGAGGGGAAACUGAGGUGACUUCAGAGCAGAGAAGUGAUAUUUUGGAGGAAAAAGCUGAACAGGUCUAUUGGGAAGGAAGCAAAAAAUCUGGAGGAAAAAUCUGAGGUAAACAAGAGGACACAGGUGACAUAGGGGAAAAAAGUGAGUUAGUCUCUAGGGGAUAAAAAUGAAGACUGUAGGAGGGAAAAGCUGAGGUGAUUGGGUGGGACAGAGCUGACAUUAUGCAUGAAAAAACUUAGGGUAAUCCAUAGGGGAGACCAUGACCAUUUUGGAGGAAAAUCCCGAGGUAGGUGAGGGUAUGUGGGUAACGUAUUAAAAGAGAGACCUAAGGUAGUGUCUGUGAAACAAGA